rnacentral:rRNA from 1 species
UCAGACGAUGCGUCAUGCAUAUCAAUAAGCGGAGGAAAAGAAACUAACAAGGAUUCCCUCAGUAACGGCGAGUGAAGCGGGAAGAGCUCAAAUUUGAAAUCUUGAAAGGUCACCUUUCACGAAUUGUAGUUUAAAGAAGUGUUUUCUGUUACGAUCGUAAUAUAAGUUCUUUGGAAUAGGACAUCACAGAGGGUGAGAAUCCCGUCUAUGAUUGCGAUUUGUAGCUUUGUGAUACACUUUCAAAGAGUCGGGUUGUUUGGGAAUGCAGCCCAAAACGGGAGGUAAAUUUCUUCUAAGGCUAAAUAUUGGCGAGAGACCGAUAGCGAACAAGUACCGUGAGGGAAAGAUGAAAAGAACUUUGAAAAGAGAGUUAAACAGUACGUGAAAUUGUCAAAAGGGAAGCGUUUUACACCAGUGUUGUUUUCUGAAAAUCAACCUCUGUUAGCUUUAUGCAUGUUUGUUUAGACCUAAUCAGCUAUCUUGCAUGUUCUAUUGUUUGCAGUGGUGCACUUUUCAGUUUACAGGUCAACAUCAGUUUUUUUUACCGUAAAAAAGUUAAAGAAAGGUAGCUCAUGGCUCCGGUCGUGAGUGUUAUAGUCUUUUUCCUAUGCGGUAGGAGAGACUGAGGUCUGCAGUGUAGGCUAUUUGGCUAGAUACUCAGGUGCUAUGUGAUACCAUUUCAUAAACAACUUGUUGAUUAUGUUUUGUCUAUUGCAUACUCGCUUGUACUAUCAUACCUACGCUUAGGAUGUUGAAGACUCUACAGAGAUA